AGUGAACGCUGGCGGUAGGCCUAACACAUGCAAGUCGAACGGCAGCACAGUAAGAGCUUGCUCUUACGGGUGGCGAGUGGCGGACAGGUGAGGAAUACAUCGGAAUCUACUUUUUCGUGGGGGAUAACGUAGGGAAACUUACGCUAAUACCGCAUACGACCUACGGGUGAAAGCAGGGGAUCUUCGGACCUUGCGCGAUUGAAUGAGCCGAUGUCGGAUUAGCUAGUUGGCGGGGUAAAGGCCCACCAAGGCGACGAUCCGUAGCUGGUCUGAGAGGAUGAUCAGCCACACUGGAACUGAGACACGGUCCAGACUCCUACGGGAGGCAGCAGUGGGGAAUAUUGGACAAUGGGCGCAAGCCUGAUCCAUCCAUACCGCGUGGGUGAAGAAGGCCUUCGGGUUGUAAAGCCCUUUUGUUGGGAAAGAAAAGCAGCAGGUUAAUACCCCGCUGUUCUGACGGUACCCAAAGAAUAAGCACCGGCUAACUUCGUG
rnacentral:rRNA from 1 species